rnacentral:rRNA from 1 species
GACGUAGGGCGCGAGCGUUGUCCGGAUUUAUUGGGCGUAAAGAGCUCGUAGGCGGCUUGUCGCGUCGACUGUGAAAACCCACAGCUCAACUGUGGGCUUGCAGUCGAUACGGGCAGGCGUAGAGUUCGGUAGGGGAGACUGGAAUUCCUGGUGUAGCGGUGAAAUGCGCAGAUAUCAGGAGGAACACCGGUGGGCGAAGGCGGGUCUCUGGGCCGAUACUGACGCUGGAGGA